rnacentral:rRNA from 1 species
GNCCUUUUGAUUAUAAUUUAAGGUCGUACCUGCUCAAUGAUUUUUUAAAUAGCUGCAGUAUACUGACUGUGCAAAGGUAGCAUAAUCAUUAGUUUUUUAAUUGAAAGCUUGUAUGAAAGGUUUGAUGAGAAAAGAACUGUCUCUAUUUAAUUUUAAAAGAAAUUUAUUUUUAAGUGAGAAAGCUUAAAUUUAGGUUGGGGACGAGAAGACCCUAUAGAGUUUUAUAUCUUAUUAGUUAUUAGGUUUAUAGAAUUGUCUACUAGUAUGAGUUAAGAUAUUUUGUUGGGGUGAUAGAAAAAUUUAAUUAACUUUUUUUUUAUUAAAACAAUAAUUUUUGAGUAGUUGAUCUUAAAAUUUAGAUUAGAAGAUUAAAUUACCUUAGGGAUAACAGCGUAAUAUUUUUUAGAGUUCUUAUCGAAGAAAGUGAUUGCGACCUCGAUGUUGGAUUAAAAUAUGUGAGUGGCGAAGAGGCUGCUAAACUAAGUCUGUUCGACUUUUAAAAUUUUACAUGAUCUGAGUUUAGACCGGCGUGAG